GUGGGACUUGAUCCUGGAACUCCAGGAUCACGCCCUGGGCUGAAUGCGGUGCUAAACCACUGAGCCACCUGGGCUGUCCAUCCUUCUUCAGGUUUUAAAUAUCUGAUAAUUACUCACCAAACUCAAAAUCCAUGGCAAUUUUAAGGCAUAAAUUUCACUUCAGCAGCAUUGGGCUGGUGAGAUGUUAGACUCCUCAUUUUGCUUGGCUUCUCCUCUCUGAGAGGUUCUUCAAUGCAAGACACCCUACAUCACCUCCCAAUGCUCAUGUUCCUUACCUGCUGGAUCAUCUCUGGAUGCUGCUGCAUGAUAUGCAGAAAACGGUCACUCUCCUGGUUUAGGGGUGUCGUCCUCUUCUUGGUGCUCCGUGACAGUUGCUUAAAGAGGUAUGUCACGAUGUGGUCCAGGCAGGAGCAGCAGCCUGUGCAUACCAUGGUGUCUAAAAGAAUGAGGGGCAGGGGUGGAUUAGAGCAGGGAUGGAAUGGCUGAUGGCGACUGGGCAACUAAGGGACUGCCCUCAGCUGAGAUCCUUUAGAGGAAGAGGUACCCCAGCAGCCUGGGGACUGUCCCAGUUCAGUCACCCUGUGCUUGGGUGCUUCCUGUUGACCUCUCACCAUCAUAUAGCAAGGUCCAAUUCUAAGCUUGAAAGUGACCAUGUGGUAAUAGACAAUAUAAAUUAGUAGUAUCGACAUUACUGACUCAAUGUGAUAUGGAUAUAGGUCUUCUGCUUCAUAAAAAAUGACAAAUAAUUUACAACCAGCAAGUAUUUCUACUGUGCCAAAUAUUGUGUUAAGGAUUUUUCAGGUAUUAUCUCCAAUUUAUCCUCCUGAGAAUUCCAGGAGGUAGGUGUUCCAUUUUACAAAUGAAUAAACCAAAGUUUGGAGAGGUUAUGUGAUUUGCCUCCAGAUCACACUGCUAAUAACUGGACAAGCUGUGAUGGGAAUCCAAGAAGUCUGAGUUACUGGAGGAAGGUCAUUAAACCUAGCUUCCUACUGCCUAACAACAUUUGCAAUUUGUUAGAGAUACCGUAUUCCUUAUCAUCGAAGCACUUUGCGGGGAGCGUGGAGGGCACACAGGGAGCUGCAGACUCCUCUCUGCAUUUUACCGAAGGGGACACUGCAGCCUGACUUGUGGACAGAACUCUGACAAGGUAAGGCACAGGCCAGAGGACUAAGGGAUAAACCAUUAAAGAGUCAACCAUUCCGUUUCUGUUUGUGCAGAUGUCCCUCCAUUUUCAAGAAGCUAUCAAACAGCUUUCCAAAGCAAUGUCGGAUACCUUGGCUGGACUGUCCUAGGAAUGGCUCUGCACCCUGCUGGAAGUAAAUGCCUGUCAAAGGAGGGGCGUGGAGGUGUAACCCACCACAGCAGGCAAUCCAAAGUCGUUCUAUGUGCACUUGCAAUACAUUGUGAUAUUUUACAGUUGACUUAAUCUUCCUAUUUAGGUUUGGUUUAGCCUAACAUAAAAAAAUGGUUUUUAUUCUCUGAACACAUGCAUACCUACUAAGACUCCUUGAAGGCAGCCCAGAAACAAAGGAGUUGACAGGAACCACAUGGAGGAGGAUGAAAACUUGUGGAGCUGUGUGAGCACAUUCCAUAGCCUCCUUCCACUAUCCUCAGGAUUGAUGAUUUUAGAGAGAGAGCAAGUGAGCAUGAACUGGAGGGGCAGAGGGAAAGGAGAGAGAAUCUCAAGCAGACUCUCCACUAAGCAUAAAACCCGAUGUGGCUUGACUCACGACCCUGAGAUCAGGGUCCAAGCCAAAACCAAGAGUCAGAUGCUCAAGUGAUUAUGCCACCCAGGUGCUCCAACACGGAGAGCAAGAUCCUAAAUAAAAUAGCUGAGUGCCUUUCAGAUGGGAAGACAAAAGAACUAGCUGGAGCUAGCUUAUAGUUUCCCAGAGAAACAUUCAAUCAUAGCGUCAGGCAAAAUAACAAAAAAACAAAACCCCAAAACAAAAACAUCUGAUUGUGAUGAGGGGCUCGGAUCCUGUCGAUGAAGCUAAAGACUUACCAGGAGGUCACUGUGGGGAAUAGAGAGGAGCAGCUUGAUGAAGGUCUGUAGAGCAUUGUCCAGCGCAUCAUCUCCAUAGAGACGGAAGACUCCAAAAUUGACGUAACUCCCACUGAGGGCAGCCUUCAGCAUGGAGAAGCAGAUGGAGAUGCCCUUGAGCUUCAGUGCAUAGACCUGAUCCUUUGGGACCUCUCCUAGUGUCAGGAUGCGAUUGCCUGAGUAGACAGAUAUGUGAUAUAUACAUUUAUUCAACCACAUUGUAACUGAUAGUUUAUGUCACCAACUCAACCCUCUUAUUCAAAGGCACUCAGUGCCAGCUGCCUAUCCUGGCUGUGCCAGAGCUUGCCUACACUGCACACAGUGUGGUGACUGCACUGAAAUUCACUCCCAAGGUUAUGCUCCUCUAAGGCACUUACCAUACAUUGUUAUCAUCUUGCUGGUUUCUCUGAAGAGUAAGAUGCCAUUGGGGGAAGAGACAUCAAAUUGGAGUCGCUGAGACCUGAACAGAGAACACAGAAGCAGAGGAAGUCAGAGCAAACUUCACGUGCAGCAGUUCUGCAGGCAUCUGUAUCUGGGACCCAGAAGAGAAAGUGGGAAAUGACCUCAUUCAUUGCCCCAUCCCUCUGACCCAAGCAGGCAGCGUUAUGCCAUCACACCACUGUGGAAUGGCACCUCACACGACACAGGGCAGGCCUUUGGUGGCAACUCUUUGCCUUCGUUGCUGCCUCACUAAUCCUCCCGCGCUCCCUUCCCUGAUGACUCCACCACUUGCAGUGGCAAGCUCCUGGUCUGUAUUAGGAUACAUCCACUCAAACAGCAUCAUGAAGCUGGUCUUGGCAUUGAAGGCGAAAGCUAUCCCUCUCAGGUCUCUUACAAGGCCAACCAGAGUUCGCUGUAGUAGAAGGCAAAAAUAUAUUACAAUAGAAGAAAAACCAAAUCUAUAACCAUUUGAUGGGGAUUUCACAAAUGUGUAACCAAAUUCUUCCAUCACUCAACAAAUACUCCUUCCCAGAUAUUCUGAACUGAUCUCUUCCAUACUAGGAUAGAAUCUUUUCACUUGGAAAAUCAGUUUUGAAAACUUGCUAUAUACUAAAAAAAAAAAAAAGCAAUGGUUCCUGCUCCAUCACAGCAAAAA